CUGGCGGCGUGCCUAAUACAUGCAAGUAGAACGCUGAAGAGAGGAGCUUGCUCUUCUUGGAUGAGUUGCGAACGGGUGAGUAACGCGUAGGUAACCUGCCUUGUAGCGGGGGAUAACUAUUGGAAACGAUAGCUAAUACCGCAUAACAAUGGAUGACACAUGUCAUUUAUUUGAAAGGGGCAAUUGCUCCACUACAAGAUGGACCUGCGUUGUAUUAGCUAGUAGGUGAGGUAAUGGCUCACCUAGGCGACGAUACAUAGCCGACCUGAGAGGGUGAUCGGCCACACUGGGACUGAGACACGGCCCAGACUCCUACGGGAGGCAGCAGUAGGGAAUCUUCGGCAAUGGGGGCAACCCUGACCGAGCAACGCCGCGUGAGUGAAGAAGGUUUUCGGAUCGUAAAGCUCUGUUGUAAGUCAAGAACGGGUGUGAGAGUGGAAAGUUCACACUGUGACGGUAGCUUACCAGAAAGGGACGGCUAACUACGUGCCAGCAGCCGCGGUAAUACGUAGGUCCCGAGCGUUGUCCGGAUUUAUUGGGCGUAAAGCGAGCGCAGGCGGUUUGAUAAGUCUGAAGUUAAAGGCUGUGGCUCAACCAUAGUUCGCUUUGGAAACUGUCAAACUUGAGUGCAGAAGGGGAGAGUGGAAUUCCAUGUGUAGCGGUGAAAUGCGUAGAUAUAUGGAGGAACACCGGUGGCGAAAGCGGCUCUCUGGUCUGUAACUGACGCUGAGGCUCGAAAGCGUGGGGAGCGAACAGGAUUAGAUACCCUGGUAGUCCACGCCGUAAACGAUGAGUGCUAGGUGUUGGAUCCUUUCCGGGAUUCAGUGCCGCAGCUAACGCAUUAAGCACUCCGCCUGGGGAGUACGACCGCAAGGUUGAAACUCAAAGGAAUUGACGGGGGCCCGCACAAGCGGUGGAGCAUGUGGUUUAAUUCGAAGCAACGCGAAGAACCUUACCAGGUCUUGACAUCCCGAUGCUAUUUCUAGAGAUAGAAAGUUACUUCGGUACAUCGGUGACAGGUGGUGCAUGGUUGUCGUCAGCUCGUGUCGUGAGAUGUUGGGUUAAGUCCCGCAACGAGCGCAACCCCUAUUGUUAGUUGCCAUCAUUCAGUUGGGCACUCUAGCGAGACUGCCGGUAAUAAACCGGAGGAAGGUGGGGAUGACGUCAAAUCAUCAUGCCCCUUAUGACCUGGGCUACACACGUGCUACAAUGGUUGGUACAACGAGUUGCGAGUCGGUGACGGCGAGCUAAUCUCUUAAAGCCAAUCUCAGUUCGGAUUGUAGGCUGCAACUCGCCUACAUGAAGUCGGAAUCGCUAGUAAUCGCGGAUCAGCACGCCGCGGUGAAUACGUUCCCGGGCCUUGUACACACCGCCCGUCACACCACGAGAGUUUGUAACACCCGAAGUCGGUGAGGUAACCUUUUGGAGCCAGCCGCCUAAGGUGGGACA
rnacentral:rRNA from 1 species